GAUGAACGCUGGCGGCGUGCCUAAUACAUGCAAGUCGAGCGAACGGACGAGAAGCUUGCUUCUCUGAUGUUAGCGGCGGACGGGUGAGUAACACGUGGAUAACCUACCUAUAAGACUGGGAUAACUUCGGGAAACCGGAGCUAAUACCGGAUAAUAUUUUGAACCGCAUGGUUCAAAAGUGAAAGACGGUCUUGCUGUCACUUAUAGAUGGAUCCGCGCUGCAUUAGCUAGUUGGUAAGGUAACGGCUUACCAAGGCAACGAUGCAUAGCCGACCUGAGAGGGUGAUCGGCCACACUGGAACUGAGACACGGUCCAGACUCCUACGGGAGGCAGCAGUAGGGAAUCUUCCGCAAUGGGCGAAAGCCUGACGGAGCAACGCCGCGUGAGUGAUGAAGGUCUUCGGAUCGUAAAACUCUGUUAUCAGGGAAGAACAUAUGUGUAAGUAACUGUGCACAUCUUGACGGUACCUAAUCAGAAAGCCACGGCUAACUACGUGCCAGCAGCCGCGGUAAUACGUAGGUGGCAAGCGUUAUCCGGAAUUAUUGGGCGUAAAGCGCGCGUAGGCGGUUUUUUAAGUCUGAUGUGAAAGCCCACGGCUCAACCGUGGAGGGUCAUUGGAAACUGGAAAACUUGAGUGCAGAAGAGGAAAGUGGAAUUCCAUGUGUAGCGGUGAAAUGCGCAGAGAUAUGGAGGAACACCAGUGGCGAAGGCGACUUUCUGGUCUGUAACUGACGCUGAUGUGCGAAAGCGUGGGGAUCAAACAGGAUUAGAUACCCUGGUAGUCCACGCCGUAAACGAUGAGUGCUAAGUGUUAGGGGGUUUCCGCCCCUUAGUGCUGCAGCUAACGCAUUAAGCACUCCGCCUGGGGAGUACGACCGCAAGGUUGAAACUCAAAGGAAUUGACGGGGACCCGCACAAGCGGUGGAGCAUGUGGUUUAAUUCGAAGCAACGCGAAGAACCUUACCAAAUUUUGACAUCCUUUGACAACUCUAGAGAUAGAGCUUUCCCCUUCGGGGGACAAAGUGACAGGUGGUGCAUGGUUGUCGUCAGCUCGUGUCGUGAGAUGUUGGGUUAAGUCCCGCAACGAGCGCAACCCUUAAGCUUAGUUGCCAUCAUUAAGUUGGGCACUCUAAGUUGACUGCCGGUGACAAACCGGAGGAAGGUGGGGAUGACGUCAAAUCAUCAUGCCCCUUAUGAUUUGGGCUACACACGUGCUACAAUGGACAAUACAAAGGGCAGCGAAACCGCGAGGUCAAGCAAAUCCCAUAAAGUUGUUCUCAGUUCGGAUUGUAGUCUGCAACUCGACUACAUGAAGCUGGAAUCGCUAGUAAUCGUAGAUCAGCAUGCUACGGUGAAUACGUUCCCGGGUCU
rnacentral:rRNA from 1 species